AGCCUCCUCCUUUGCUUUGGCUUGUCUAGUGGGCAUCAGCCUUGAGAGGAGCAAGCAAAGUGGCAGCAGCUUCCAUCACAACUCACAAAAUUGUCCAAGUUGUAGCUCAGGGCUGGCCGGACUGAGCCCAACUCCCAGAAGAUGUAUCAUUGCUGCCAAUAUCAUUGAAUACAUGGAGGCAGCAGAGGAAGAUGGAUAUGCAUCACGUGCAUCGGUGCAUGAACACGUCUUCCCGAUGGCCAGACAUGUCUCUACAGCAGGUCUCUUCGUCACUCCUAAUCAACCCCACGUCCUCACGCAGCCAAUGUGAACUUCUCACCCCGCACAUCGCAGCUUUCCGCCCGGUGGUUCUCUCCUGCUCCUGGGAACGGAAAUAUAAUCAAGAAGCACAAGCACAAGUGCAUUCUCGAAGUCGAAGGUGACAGACUGACAGCCACCAGUUGAGCCGCAUCUUAAUAUCCGCAACGGUUCACCUGGUUUUACCGAGACAGCUUUGGCUCAUUAAUGGUUACAGGCAAGCAGCAACAGCAAGCUCCCACGAAGAUAUGUAGUGUAUAUGCACUCGGGAGGUCAAGAAGGUGGCACACUGCAGUAUUUAUAUGAAGCAACAACCGCAAGGUAGAACAAAAAAUCAUGCUCAUUCUCAAAUGAAAGAACUUAUGUGUACAUGACUUACCAGUACUAUAUUUCUAAUUGUUGAUCAAUAUUUUAAAAAAAAAAUUCUAUAACUCUCUACGACUUUACCACCAUUGAACGGAAAAUACGUGAAAAUCAUUUACUGAAAUCUUACAUAUAUAGCAGAAAUAGUAAAUAAUGACUACCCCGUGCGAAUGCUUACAUAUCUGCAUUAAGCAGCACCUAACAGUGAGUAGGCGAGGCUUCCUCUCAUUGUGUUCCUCUCGCUCGUAAAAAGACUAGAGAGCACCAGCAGUACUAGGAUUCCUAGCUAACCACAGAUGAGUGGGCGAUGCUUCCUCUCAUUGUGUUCCUCGCCAAUGAUUGAUCCAUGUAAUUUAAGUUGCUUUGAUCUAAUUUUUGUCGUGAAACACAUCCCUUGUGCCGCGUACCCCCUUGCAUCGCCUCCCCUCGGGCGACGCUAGGGGCUCCGUGCAGAUGGGUGGCAUCGGUGGCUGCAGAUCUGGAGUCCUGCCCAGGUCCGUCACGGUGUGGCCCCGGCGGGCCAGCGGCGCGAAGAGGGACCGGCAAGGGGCGGUUGGAGGUCCCUGCCGGUGUGUUGACGGCGGUUUUCUUCUUCACGGCGAAACUCCGUACCGUUCCAGUCAACAGGGCAAUCGGGGGACGCGACUUCCGAUGAAAAUCACACCGACUACUGUCAUCCUCCUUUAAUAAAAAAUAAUAAUUCUGAUUUAUGUCGUGUGUGUGCUUAGCUCGUUGAUCAUCUGCCCACAUUGCCAAAUACUUCCUCCGUUUUAUAAUGUAGUUCAUAUAAAUUUUCUGUAAAAUCAAACUUUACAAACUUCCGCCAAGCUUACAAAGAAAACUAUUUAUAUCUACAGUACCAAAUAUAUACAAUAUGAAAACACGUCUUGUGAUCUAUCUACCGAUAUGUAUAUUCUAGAUUUAUGUGUUUUUCUUUACAAACUUGGUCAAGAUUUAUAAAUUUUGGCUUUUCAAAAAAUCUGUAUGCACUACAUUGUGAGCGGAGGGAGUAAAAAUUAGCAAAUUUUUAGAGAGAGAAAUUAUAGGUUUCAGUAGAAGAAUUUCCCUAGUCCCUCGGCCUUAAUCGGGAGGAUAUGAAGGUGCCAAGAUGAAUGGCCUUUUCGAAGCUACAUCCAGACCCAAGAUGAAUUUCACUAGAAUACAUACUUACAAAAUGCAUUAUUAGUUCCGGCAACGGUCUCCAUCUUGGCAUCCAUAGACGGUCGGCUCAGACCUGGGAAACAUGAGCGUGAAGCUCUCCUCCGGAGGUUUCAGUCCAUCUUCGCAUCCAUCUGGAAUGUCCUGCUUAGUUAGGGAGCUUCCUGCAUACUGUGAAAUGCCAAUACAGGACCAACCUCCUUUACGUGUCCAAAGUCAACAGUGAAACAAAGCUUAGCUUUACGCAUCGCUUUUUACCUUGCGGUCAAUCAGACAGCUUGCAAUGCAUGAAACCUACUCAUUUGCU